rnacentral:misc_RNA from 1 species
UAGUAGCACCCGCCGACGUCGACGUCGUGGUUGUCGUGGUGGUGUUCGUUGCCGUCGUCGCGACGCCCAGACACCGUGCCGUCCGCGUCUCUCGAGCAGUGCGCGUCCACACGUCGCGACGACACGGCUCCUCUCUACUUGUCGCUCCAAUCCUCCAGUGCUUACGAAUUUCGGCUGCUGUCGUGCGCCAUCCCAACUACCCUUUGUGCACGUGACUCUGUUGCCAGCACGAGAUUCGGACAGUUCCGGGACUAUUUUCUUCGCCUACUCUUCGUGAUUCUUCUCCCCAUAUAGCAUUCCGUUUCGAUUCAACGACGAAAGACGCGAUGUGGCAAAUGGUACGAUCCAUGUUGCCGCACAGGAUUUAAAGGAACAGAGAAGUUGCAGAUUACCUGGCGGACGCGUGCGCACUGCGUACACCUCACAGAAACUUUUAUCUAUUAUCGACCCGAGCCAAAGCAAAACAUUUGCAUGUGGAAGCUCGCCGAAAAAUAGUACGAAAUUUUUGCCGUGUCAGAUUAAUCCACGCAAUUGUUCCAUACCUGCGACUAUCUACAGGGCGUCGUUCAGAAGCCAUGCCGAUCA